AACUUUCAGCAACGGAUCACUUGGCUCUUGCAACGAUGAAGAACGCAGUAAAGUGCGAUAUAUAGUGCGAUUUGCAUGAAUCUGUGAGUCAUCUAGUAUUUGAACGCAACUUGCGCCGUGAUGAACGGCAUGUCUGUUUGAGUGUUUGUUUAAAAUGCAGUAAUGUAAUAUGGCCACUGGGGAACGUAUUUGCCAUUGGCUCAAAGGUAGCAAGCAAAGGAGUAGGGGCAGAAUCCCUGUGAGUUGGAGACUGCGUGGUCUUGUCACAAGGGUUCUAUCCUAUCCCUAUCCACACAUUCUAUCUCGUAAACCUCAAAUCAGUCAAGACUACCCGCUGAACUUAAGCAUAUCAAUAAGCGGAGGCU
rnacentral:misc_RNA from 1 species